UACGUAGGGCGCAAGCGUUAUCCGGAAUUAUUGGGCGUAAAGAGCUCGUAGGCGGUUUGUCGCGUCUGCCGUGAAAGUCCGGGGCUCAACUCCGGAUCUGCGGUGGGUACGGGCAGACUAGAGUGAUGUAGGGGAGACUGGAAUUCCUGGUGUAGCGGUGAAAUGCGCAGAUAUCAGGAGGAACACCGAUGGCGAAGGCAGGUCUCUGGGCCACUACUGACGCUGAGAAGCGAAAGCGUGGGGAGCAAACAGG
rnacentral:rRNA from 1 species